rnacentral:rRNA from 1 species
GAGAUUGGAAUUCCUGGUGUAGCGGUGGAAUGCGCAGAUAUCAGGAGGAACACCGAUGGCGAAGGCAGAUCUCUGGGCCGUAACUGACGCUGAGGAGCGAAAGCAUGGGGAGCGAACAGGAUUAGAUACCCUGGUAGUCCAUGCCGUAAACGUUGGGCGCUAGAUGUAGGGACCUUUCCACGGUUUCUGUGUCGUAGCUAACGCAUUAAGCGCCCCGCCUGGGGAGUACGGCCGCAAGGCUAAAACUCAAAGGAAUUGACGGGGGCCCGCACAAGCGGCGGAGCAUGCGGAUUAAUUCGAUGCAACGCGAAGAACCUUACCAAGGCUUGACAUACACCGGAAACGGCCAGAGAUGGUCGCCCCCUUGUGGUCGGUGUACAGGUGGUGCAUGGUUGUCGUCAGCUCGUGUCGUGAGAUGUUGGGUUAAGUCCCGCAACGAGCGCAACCCUCGUUCUAUGUUGCCAGCGCGUUAUGGCGGGGACUCAUAGGAGACUGCCGGGGUCAACUCGGAGGAAGGUGGGGAUGACGUCAAAUCAUCAUGCCCCUUAUGUCUUGGGCUUCACGCAUGCUACAAUGGCCGGUACAAAGGGCUGCGAUACCGUAAGGUGGAGCGAAUCCCAAAAAGCCGGUCUCAGUUCGGAUUGAGGUCUGCAACUCGACCUCAUGAAGUCGGAGUCGCUAGUAAUCGCAGAUCAGCAACGCUGCGGUGAAUACGUUCCCGGGCCUUGUACACACCGCCCGUCAAGUCAUGAAAGUCGGUAACACCCGAAGCCGGUGGCCUAACCCUUGUGGAA